AGUUUCCAUAUUAAAUGCCAUAGCAAAUCAAAGAUCAUAUAAUAAAAUAAGUCCAAAAACCCAAAUAUGGGAAAAUAAAGAGCUGAAGAAAUGGUGAUUUGAGCACCUAUGAUUUCUCAAAGGUAUUUUUGGAGGUUAACUACAUCAGAAAGAUCAAGACAGUUGGAAAGGGCUAUUCAUAUUAUGGAAACUUUUUCUCACAGAGCUUGAUAAUCAGGCAAAAUGCUGGAACACCCUUGCAAGAGUAUUGAUGUAUGAUAAGAACAAGAUAACCCAACCAUACCUUUUGAAUAUUAAACCAUUAAUUUAUUUUAUAGUUCUGGAAAAGAAUGCAUUUGACCUAUUUUUUAAAUAUUUUUUAAUUUGUUUUUAAUGUUAAAUAUCCUCCCCAAACACAAUUAGAUUUUUAUUCUCUCCAGAAAUUUAUGUAUAAUAUAGAAAGUAAAGUGACAUAAAUCACUUAGAAUUUGGUCGGAAAUCCUAAAGUAGAAACCAAAUAUAUGUAGAAUUACAAAAAUCCCAUGACCUACAUUAAGGUGACUUUCUCUUGCUUAUCAAAUGAAAUAGGGUUUAAUAUCCUACCUUUCUAUGUUAUUAUGGUAAUUCUGCCCUACAACCUACUCUUUUAUCAAAUAUUUCAAAAGUUUCUUUAAAAUGAACACAGGAAGCGAUGGGUGGCGGAAUGGUUAACACGCGCACAUUGGAUCAGAUCUGGCAUUGAGUAAAAUAUUUAAAUUGUCAAGGUUUCUUUAAAGUGAACACAUUGGGGGUGGUUUCGAUUCCCCGCUUGUACAUGACAAGGAGUAGGCCCAACUCUCAAACCUCGCAGGUUUUCUCCGGGUCCUUUGGUUUCCUCCCACUACUAAAGACCCCUAUGCUCAAGUGAAUUAUUGAAAUAAUAUUGAACCUUAUGUUAGUCCCUAAUUGACCCAGUUUGUGUCGAGUGGAGACUAAAACCCCAUUUCUAUCUUGCUUUAAAAUACACACCAAGGUGUUUAUGAGACCUAGGUUUAUUGUCCUAUGCGAACAACUAUAUCAUCAAUUGUCAUGUCCUACACCACUGACAUGGGGGAACUGUGCCGGUAAAUCCAGAUGAAAUUUGUACAUAUUAUUUAAUAUUUGCCAUUUUCUCUGAUAUUUUUAUUUCAUUUAUUUUACAAUAACCUGUAAUCUUGGUGCUUUCAUUAUUCAAUGGGCGCUCCUUUUAUGUACAAAAGAUUCAUUUUGUUUGUUUAUUUAAAAGGGUUCUACAUAAUUUUAUAACUCCUGCAAUAGUGCAUUUUUCUUUUGUUAGUUCUGUGUAUGCUACUUAUUUCUAGAUGCCUCACAAAUCACUUGUAAAAUGACUUUGAUGCACUUUUCAGUUUUUGAAAGUAUUUUAAUUUGAUGCAUAAUUACACGUCAUUA